rnacentral:rRNA from 1 species
UACGUAGGGUGCGAGCGUUAAUCGGAAUUACUGGGCGUAAAGCGUGCGCAGGCGGUUUUGUAAGCCAGAUGUGAAAUCCCCGGGCUUAACCUGGGAAUGGCAUUUGGGACUGCAAGGCUCGAGUGCGGCAGAGGAGACUGGAAUUCCUGGUGUAGCAGUGAAAUGCGUAGAUAUCAGGAGGAACACCGGUGGCGAAGGCGGCUUCCUGGACCGACACUGACGCUGAGGCGCGAAAGCUAGGGGAGCAAACGGG